rnacentral:rRNA from 1 species
AACGUGCCCAAUCGUGGGGGAUAACGCAGCGAAAGCUGUGCUAGUACCGCAUACGAUCUACGGAUGAAAGCGGGGGACUCAGCAAUGGGCCUCGCGCGAAUGGAGCGGCCGAUAUCAGAUUAGCUAGUUGGUGGGGUAAAGGCUCACCAAGGCGACGAUCUGUAGCUGGUCUGAGAGGACGACCAGCCACACUGGAACUGAGACACGGUCCAGACUCCUACGGGAGGCAGCAGUGGGGAAUUUUGGACAAUGGGCGCAAGCCUGAUCCAGCAAUGCCGCGUGCAGGAUGAAGGCCUUCGGGUUGUAAACUGCUUUUGUACGGAACGAAAAGACUCCUUCUAAUAAAGGGGGUUCAUGACGGUACCGUAAGAAUAAGCACCGGCUAACUACGUGCCAGCAGCCGCGGUAAUA